rnacentral:rRNA from 1 species
UAGGGAAUCUUCCGCAAUGGACGCAAGUCUGACGGAGCAACGCCGCGUGAGUGAAGAAGGAUUUCGGUUCGUAAAACUCUGUUGUUAGAGAAGAACAGCGCAUAGAGUAACUGUUAUGCGUGUGACGGUAUCUAACCAGAAAGCCACGGCUAACUACGUGCCAGCAGCCGCGGUAAUACGUAGGUGGCAAGCGUUGUCCGGAUUUAUUGGGCGUAAAGCGAGCGCAGGCGGUCAAUUAAGUCUGAUGUGAAAGCCCCCGGCUCAACCGGGGAGGGUCAUUGGACACUGGUUGACUUGAGUGCAGAAGAGGAGAGUGGAAUUCCAUGUGUAGCGGUGAAAUGCGUAGAUAUAUGGAGGAACACCAGUGGCGAAGGCGACUCUCUGGUCUGUAACUGACGCUGAGGCUCGAAAGCGUGGGUAGCAAACAGG